CAGGCUGGAGGGCAGUGGUGGCAUCUCAGCUCACUGCAACCUCUGCCUCCCAGGUUCAAGUGAUUCUCUCAUGUCAGCCUCCUGAGUAGCUGGGAUUACAGGCACAUGCCACCAUGCCCAGCUAAUUUUUGUAUUUGUAAUAGAGACAGGGUUUCACCACAUUAGCUAGGCUAGUCUUGAACUCCUGACCUCAAGUGAUCCGUCUGCCUUGGCCUCCCAGAGUUCUGGGAUUACAGGUGUGAGCCACCAUGCCCAGCCAGGUUUCCUUACUUCUAAGUCUCUGCCUGUAAUUACAUGUCUGAACAAUUGAUCUGCUAUAUUGUCUGAACAAUUGAUCUGCUAUAUUUGUUGAGUUUCUGAGAGUAAAAAGAGAACAUGGGGUCACAUGUUCAAACUGUCUCUACAAAAUGCAAAGUUCUUAUUGCAGGAUAGUAACCAACACUCUAAAUUUUAUUUAAAGUUACCUUUGUGGCCGGCUCGAGUGCAGUGGUGUUUACAACUAAUUGAUCACAACCAGUUACAGAUUUCUUUGUUCCUUCUCCACUCCCACUGCUUCACUUGACUAGUCUUUAAAAAAGAAAAGAAAGACCGGGCGCGGUGUCUCACGCCUGUAAUCCCAGCACUUUGGGAGGCCAAGGCGGGCGGAUCAUCUGAGGUCGGGAGUUCAAGACCAGCCUGACCAACAUGGAGAAACCCCGUCGCUACUAAAAAUACAAAAUUAGCCAGGCAUGGUAGCACAUGCCUGUAAUCCAAGCUACUUAGGAGGCUGAGGCAGGAGAAUUGCUAGACCCGGGAGGCAGAGGUUGCAGUGAGCCGAGAUCACACCACAGCACUCCAGCCUGGGCAACAAGAGCGAAACUCCGUCUCAAAAAAAAAAAAAGAAAGAAAAGAAAAGAAAAAAAUAAAGUUUCCUCUCUGGUGGGGGAGUGAGAAGUAGUCAAUACUUUCUCUCUGUCCUCCACCUUCUACUCUUCUACUUUUGUCCCCGCCUGCCCCACCUGCAGCCUGCUGGCCACUGAGAGGGGCAUGAGGAGCAAGAAUCUGGGGAGCUGACCACCUUGCAUUCCUGCCCUAAGUCCACAUCCUUGCUCUCUGGACUUGCAGGAUUUUCAAAGCUGACUUGGUUUCUGGAGGGGCACUUCCUUAGGUUUCUUACUGAUUCUUCCCUUGGAAUAUCAGGCUGCAGCUCCCUGUACUUGGACCAUGCUCUUCUACCAGCAGCCUCCCUCAUGAAACCCUCCUCAGCUUCUGCAUCCUAAGAUACACCUUGAAGCACGUCCAGGUCUAGUCACUGAGCUCCAGCCAGGAAAUAAUUUCAAUGGGAUCUAUUAUAACAUGAACCCAGGCCAGACGCUCCUGUGGAAUAACCUCUACCCACAGGAAGCAUGCCCUCUACCGUCUUAUGCUUCUCUGUUUCCUGAUGCAGCCACUGGAGUCAUCUUCCACCAAACAGGAAGCUCCACUUCCACUUUCAGCCUUGAAUCUUCUCAGCAUGGGACACAUGGCCUCUUUGUCAAAGCUGUGGAGGUUAAGACCUUCAGUGAACCAGUAAAUGGUACAGUCAUUCUACCAGCUUUGACAUAGUGAGAGGAAACUGACCAGAGGUAGCCUUUCCCAAUGACUGACACUUGUAGUGUUAUUCAACAUAUCAAAGAGCUAUUCACUUUAAUCUAUCUAAACUAAAUCUUCCAUAUUAAUUAAUAUUCAUAACUGUCUAUUUGGGGUGGAGUAGAGGCCACAGUGCC
rnacentral:lncRNA from 10 species